AGGGCCUAAGGGCUGAGCUGGGGGUGGGGGGAGCUGCUCUGCACUGCAGGGUCCAUCCUCAGCUCCUGGACCCUCUGCAGCCUCCUUGCUGGGUCUUCCUGCCAGGCACAGAGCCGCCCGGGCCUCAGUUUCCCCGGCCUAGAACAUAGGCUGCUUGUCCACACCUCCCACAAAGGGGCUUGGGGCCUCAGAGUGUCAGAGUCCGUCCGAGGCCUGGCGGCGGAAGCCAGGACGCUUCUCCGGGCCACCCUCCUGCCAUCGCCCUCUCGGCUCCUGGAGGCUGACGCUCUUCAGCUAUGUGGUCUUCCUUGUUCUCUGUUCUGUCCUAAGCCCAUGAACCUAAAGUACUAGACCCGGAAGAGAAGGUCCCUGGGAAUGUAACAUGCCCUGGGAACUGACAUUGAACAUUUCCCAGCCUUGCAUUAGAUAAAAAAAGAAAAUUUCCUAUAAACUUAGUGCUUUUAAAAAUGUUUUAACCAAUAAGUCUAAAAACUGCCGAUUAGUUUGGUAUAGUAUAAAUAUCGUCAAAUAUAAAAUUCCAAGAAACGGAUCUGGGACCCCAUCUGACGAUCUGGUGAAGUUCUAACUCAUCUAAGAAAC
rnacentral:lncRNA from 1 species